rnacentral:tRNA from 1 species
CCCGUGGUAGCUCCGUUGAUAGAGCGCUCCAUUUGUAAUGGAGAGGUCCCGGGUUCGAUACCAGGACCAGGCGG